rnacentral:rRNA from 1 species
GACGACGCUGGCGGCGUGCCUAAUACAUGCAAGUAGGACGAGUUGCGAACGGGUGAGUAACGCGUGGUAACCUACCUAUUCGAGGGGGAUAACUACUGGAAACGGUAGCUAAUACCGCAUACCAUCAGAUGUGCCCAGAUGGGAUGAGCUAGUAGUUGGGUUAAUGGCUCACCUAGGCGACGAUCCCUAGCUGGUCUGAGAGGAUGACCAGCCACCGUGGAACGGAGACACGGUCCAGACUCCUUGGGCAGGCAGCAGUGGGGAGUAUUGCACAAUGGGCGGAAGCCUGAUGCAGCGAUUCGGCGUGUGUGAAGAAGGCCUUCGGGUUGUAAUGCACUUUCAGCGAGGAGGCGUUACUCGCAGAAGAAGCACCGGCUAACUCCGUGCCAGCAGCCGCGGUAAUUC